rnacentral:rRNA from 1 species
UGGGGAAUAUUGCACAAUGGGCGCAAGCCUGAUGCAGCCAUGCCGCGUGUAUGAAGAAGGCCUUCGGGUUGUAAAGUACUUUCAGUCGGGAGGAAGGUGGUAAGGUUAAUAACCUUGGCAAUUGACGUUACCGACAGAAGAAGCACCGGCUAACUCCGUGCCAGCAGCCGCGGUAAUACGGUGGGUGCAAGCGUUAAUCGGAAUUACUGGGCGUAAAGCGCACGCAGGCGGUUGAUUGAGUCAGCUGUGAAAUCCCCGGGCUUAACCCGGGAAUUGCAUCUGAUACUGGUCAGCUAGAGUCGUGUAGAGGGGGGUAGAAUUCCAUGUGUAGCGGUGAAAUGCGUAGAGAUGUGGAGGAAUACCGGUGGCGAAGGCGGCCCCCUGGACAAAGACUGACGCUCAGGUGCGAAAGCGUGGGGAGCAAACAGG